rnacentral:tRNA from 2 species
UGGGGUGUGGCCAAGUGGUAAGGCAACGGGUUUUGGUCCCGCUAUUCGGAGGUUCGAAUCCUUCCGUCCCAG